UAUUUCUUCUCAUUUUUCUACUAAACUUGAGUAAAACAAAAAAAAAUAGAAACGCUUAAUACCCUUCUCUCCAUUCGAAACCCUAAGUCGCCGCCACCAUCUCCGAUUGAAAAAUAAGUUUCAUAUUCUUGCUCCGAUCGGUUUCAAGCACUUCUUCAUGCGAGCGUACUCUAGAGUUGAUCAGAUCGUCGCCGGUGCACUUUCGUCUCCUCCGGCGUGAUAGUAAGUUUUCAACAACCAUACUUCAAUUCUCUCUUCAUACUGCCUCGGAAUCGCUCAGGCAACUGUAAACUUCAUCCGUUCCGGUAGUUUGUUUGUGACAUUCUGUUCCUAGGAUUAGGUUUCUGCUAGAAUUUCAGGUCAGUUUUGGCUACCAACUGAGAUCAGUUUAUUGGAAGGUUCUGAAAUGUAAGUAUGUUGUUCGAGGAGAGAUUGUUACACUUGCUCAGGAGAUGUCAAAGGCAUUUACCAGAAAUUGUGUUCUCUCUUUCAGCCAAGUAUAGUGCUCGGUUCAAUGCUGAAGCAGUGAGAAACUUUUUAUACUCUCAACAAUGAAACUAUAGCCCAAAAGAAAUUCAACUGAACGGGAAUGAAGAGGAUGAUUGCUGUCUUGGCAGGAAUGAAGAGGAUGAUUCCAUUAUGAAGAUGAAGGUUGCCCAAUUCUCAUCUCAUUAAACUUGAGUUCUAUAUACUCACUUAAUUUGGAGUAUGGAAUUGGUGCUGAGAUUGGUUACUUUGUUUUAAACUCACUCUUUUUUACUAUCUAAUGUCCUGAUGUUUAUAAUUUUGUAGCAAUUUUUAUAGUAACUUGUUUUAUGAAUUUGUCUUAUAUAAAUUCAAAUAUUUUAAAUUAAAAUUAUCUUUUUAUAUUCUGGUUUUUUUAAUAUAUAAUUUAUAACGUUUCAAAAAAUAUUUAAAUUUUUUUUUAAUUUGGGACAGAAAGUACCUGCGGAUCUUCCUGCGGAAAAUAUUACCCACGAAGGUUUUAGCUGUGGACAAAAAACCGGAAAUUUAGCUCAAUUCCGCAGAUAUUUCUCUCCCCACCGCUUGCAUCCUCCUUGACCUGUCUCCACUGCCUACAAAUAUUUAUCCAUAAAUUGAUCUUUUUCUACCAUGAAAAACUCAACUUACAUUAUUUGUGUAAAUUGGGAUUGAGAAGAAUGAAAUUGAUUUUCAGAGCCAAAACUCAAGAAUUUUAAUGCUUUUUUUUUUUCUUUCACAAUCUUCAUCUCAUGGGUAAAAACAUAUCGAAUUUACAUUUCAUAGGUUGUGUUUCAAUUUCCGAUACCAUAUAAUUUAAAAGGGCCCAAAAUCAUUUCACCAUUUAAGCACUUGUGAAUAAAAUCGAAGUUUAGAAUGAAAAACACUAUAGUUGCAAAGUUUUAUGAAAUACCCAUGUUAUUAGUGUGAGAAAAAACCCAUUUACAACUUAAGAAUUUUUCAAGUGUAUAAUUAUUGUCAUCUUCUCCAAUAAAUUCUUUUGGGUUUUUUUUUUUAAUGUUGAAAAUACAUUUUCUCAAGAUCCAAAUCUACCGUACCGAUGGGUAGGGGUGUUCAAAACCAAACCAACCCAAUAAAAAAUCACAAACCAAAUCGAAACCGCAAAAAACCGCAUUUGGUUCGGAUUAGUUUGGGUAAUCUUUUAACAAAAUCACACGGUUUGGUUCGGUUUGCGGUUUGUAUUUUGUAAACCGAACCAAACCGAAUCUUUUAACAAAACCGCAUUAUAUUACAACCUAAAUUUUACUUAACUCACAUCCAACCCAAAUUUAAACCUCUUAUAUCUUAGCAUUAUGAUUACCAACAAUUUUCUCUUCCUUACACAUAAUUUCAGUCCCGAUCUUCUCAAAUCUCUAAUAACAUUAUCGCACAUUUUUUGCCACAUAC